CUGCAGCCCGAGUGGUGAUUGAUUUUAUUGAGCCUAAAGCGUCCGUAGCCGGACUAGUAAACCCUUGGGUAAAUUGGGCAGCUUAACUGUCCAAAUUCCGAGGGGACUGCUAGUCUUGGGACCGGGAGAGGUCAGAGGUACUCAAGGGGUAGGGGCUAAAUCCUGUAAUCCUUUGGGGACCACCAGUGGCGAAGGCGUCUGACUAGAACGGAUCCGACGGUAAGGGACGAAACCCUGGGGCGCGAACCGGAUUAGAUACCCGAGUAGUCC
rnacentral:rRNA from 1 species